UACAGAGGUGGCAAGCGUUGUUCGGAAUUACUGGGCGUAAAGGGCGCGUAGGCGGCCAUCUAAGUCAGACGUGAAAUCCCCCGGCUUAACCUGGGAACUGCGUCUGAUACUGGACGGCUUGAGUAUGGGAGAGGGAUGUAGAAUUCCAGGUGUAGCGGUGAAAUGCGUAGAUAUCUGGAGGAAUACCGGUGGCGAAGGCGGCAUCCUGGACCAUUACUGACGCUGAGGCGCGAAGCUAGGGAGCAACGGG
rnacentral:rRNA from 1 species